rnacentral:rRNA from 1 species
GAUGAACGCUGGCGGCGUGCCUAAUACAUGCAAGUCGAGCGAACAGACGAGGAGCUUGCUCCUCUGACGUUAGCGGCGGACGGGUGAGUAACACGUGGAUAACCUACCUAUAAGACUGGGAUAACUUCGGGAAACCGGAGCUAAUACCGGAUAAUAUAUUGAACCGCAUGGUUCAAUAGUGAAAGACGGUUUUGCUGUCACUUAUAGAUGGAUCCGCGCCGCAUUAGCUAGUUGGUAAGGUAACGGCUUACCAAGGCAACGAUGCGUAGCCGACCUGAGAGGGUGAUCGGCCACACAGGAACUGAGACACGGUCCAGACGCAUACGGGAGGCAGCAGUAGGGAAUCUACCGCAAUGGGCGAAAGCCUGACGGAGCAACGCCGCGUGAGUGAUGAAGGUCUUCGGAUCGUAAAACUCUGUUAUUAGGGAAGAACAAAUGUGUAAGUAACUAUGCACGGCUUGACGGUAACUAAUCAGAAAGCCACGGCUAACUACGUG